CCUGAAUGUGACCUCGAGAAAUGGAAAAACUUGAUUGACAAGAAGUGGAAUGAUACCAAUUGGCUGAAGCAAUCAAAUGCUAACAUUGACAAUAGAAAUCAAUUGAAGACGAAGCAUAGGUGUGGGUCAAAAUCUCUCCCAGUUAGGGUACACGAGGCGACAAUUGCAAAUGAGGGCCAACUGCCAGAGUUGCCAUGUGUUUACAAAUCUACACACUUUAAUGAUGUCACAAAGCAGUGGAUUUCUCCGGAGUGCGAAAAGAAUUAUG